rnacentral:tRNA from 1 species
GGGGAUUUAGCUCAGUGGUUUGGGCGCCUGCCUCCCAAGCACAAGGUCCCAAAUUCAAUCCCCA